AGAGAUUAAACUGAAGAGUUUGAUCCUGGCUCAGAUUGAACGCUAGCGGGAUGCUUUACACAUGCAAGUCGAACGGCAGCGCGAGAGAGCUUGCUCUCUUGGCGGCGAGUGGCGGACGGGUGAGUAAUAUAUCGGAACGUGCCCAGUAGCGGGGGAUAACUACUCGAAAGAGUGGCUAAUACCGCAUACGCCCUACGGGGGAAAGGGGGGGAUCGCAAGACCUCUCACUAUUGGAGCGGCCGAUAUCGGAUUAGCUAGUUGGUGGGGUAAAGGCUCACCAAGGCAACGAUCCGUAGCUGGUUUGAGAGGACGACCAGCCACACUGGGACUGAGACACGGCCCAGACUCCUACGGGAGGCAGCAGUGGGGAAUUUUGGACAAUGGGGGAAACCCUGAUCCAGCCAUCCCGCGUGUAUGAUGAAGGCCUUCGGGUUGUAAAGUACUUUUGGCAGAGAAGAAAAGGUAUCCCCUAAUACGGG
rnacentral:rRNA from 1 species